rnacentral:sRNA from 2 species
CUAAAUCCCGACUCUGCCAAUUCAAAAGCGUUCAUCUGCAUCCACCCUAGGAUUAGAACAGAACGGACAGCCUUUCCGCCCUCCCUCAGAGUUGGCAUCCUGUCACUUGCACCGUCGCUAUGGCAUCGAAGGAUCGAUUGAACCACGACGCCGGGGAGGAGUUUUCUGCAGGUUUAAGGCCUGAGAAUUUCCGUUCCCCCAUGAGUUGAAGUAGGUGUCAGAAAAAGAAAUAAAUCCACUCACUGGUGGGUUUCUGGGGAACAAAUCCGGAAGGCCAAUGCAUGAGCAAUUUUGCAUCCAUUUGAUACAAUAUAUCAUGAAUUUUUUUUCUUUCUUUUUCUUUUCUUUUCUUUUCCUUCGUUCUUUCUUUCUUUCUUUUUUUUUUUUUUGCAAACUAGUUAGAGUUCCUUGACUUAUCAGGCAAAAUUAUUAUUCAGUACGCAACAAACUAUUUGCUAACCUUUAGUUGUCGAGAAGUACUGGUUUGUAAAUAGACGUCAUCGCC